rnacentral:rRNA from 1 species
UACAGAGGGUGCGAGCGUUAAUCGGAAUUACUGGGCGUAAAGGGCGCGUAGGCGGCUAGAUAAGUGAGGUGUGAAAGGCUUGGGCUUAACCUGGGCACUGCACUUUAGACUGUGUAGCUAGAGUAUGGUAGAGGGAAGCGGAAUUUCCGGUGUAGCGGUGAAAUGCGUAGAUAUCGGAAAGAACAUCAGUGGCGAAGGCGGCUUUCUGGACUAAUACUGACGCUGAGGCGCGAAAGCAUGGGUAGCAAACAGG